rnacentral:rRNA from 1 species
UGACCUCAAAUCAGGUAGGACUACCCGCUGAACUUAAGCAUAUCAAUAAGCGGAGGAAAAGAAACUAACAAGGAUUCCCCUAGUAACUGCGAGUGAAGCGGGAAAAGCUCAAAUUUAAAAUCUGGCGGUCUUUUGGCCGUCCGAGUUGUAAUCUAGAGAAGUGUUAUCCGCGCUGGACCGUGUACAAGUCUCCUGGAAUGGAGCAUCAUAGAGGGUGAGAAUCCCGUCUUUGACAUGGACUGCCAGGGCUUUUGUGAUGCGCUCUCAAAGAGUCGAGUUGUUUGGGAAUGCAGCUCAAAAUGGGUGGUAAAUUCCAUCUAAAGCUAAAUAUUGGCGAGAGACCGAUAGCGAACAAGUACCGUGAGGGAAAGAUGAAAAGAACUUUGGAAAGAGAGUUAAACAGUACGUGAAAUUGCUGAAAGGGAAACGCUUGAAGUCAGUCGCGUCGUCCAGGGAUCAACCUUGCUUUUGCUUGGUGCACUUUCUGGUCUGACGGGUCAGCAUCAAUUUUGAUCAUAUAUUGGAAAAAGAUUGAGGGAAUGUGGCAUCCUCGGAUGUGUUUAUAGCCCUUGGUCAAAUACAAUGGUUGGGAUUGAGGAACUCAGCACGCCGCAAGGCCGGGUGUUUACACCACGUACGUGCUUAGGAUG